rnacentral:tRNA from 1 species
GGAGAGAUGCCGGAGUGGUCAAACGGCGCUGCCUCGAAAGCAGAUGGUCCAUUCAUGGGCACCAGGGUUCGAAUCCCUGUUUCUCCGCCA